GAAAAUAAUGAGUAUAAAAAAAGAAUCAGCUGUGAAAAUGCUCGUUGGUUGAAAUCCGGAGGAAUAAUUGGCGGAGAAUAGAGCGGUAGACGGCGCUAGUGAGGGGUGCGGCGGUGAUAACGCAAACUACCCCAGCCGGGUCGAGACAGCGAAACGCGCCCGCGCGUUUUAGACAUUCUAAGUGGGAGAGCGAGAGAAAGAGAGAGAAAAAACGUCAGACGGUGUGUUAUCGCGGCUCGGAUAGUGAAAGAAAACGAAUCACCGAAGCAGUCACGCCAGUUAUGGUGAAAGAGAAACAGAACGAGAGCGAGGCUUGAAGUGUCGUGUGUGACAAAACUAUAUGGUAUACGUAUGCUUUGAAGCGGAGAAAAAAAAACAAGAAUAAGGGAAAGAGUGGCUAAAGCCAAACGGUUUUUUUCGAACACUUUGUUCGACUCGUGAUAUACAAAGUCGAAGGGGACAGAGAAGACACGAAAAGUCGUACCAACCGUUCGGACAUCGGAGAAAGGAUAUACUACUGGGGAUUUUAUGGGUGUGGAGUGAAAAAACCGUUGUUGAAAGAAUACAAGAAAAAAUAUGAAUUACUCGCCGACAUGUUUGUCGUGAUCUCAAACAAGCUCGUAUCCCAUCGAGCACAAUAGACUCAGAUAAUUGUGUGUGGGAGCAAGUGCGCGCGUGUAUAUACGUACGAGCUGCAACAAUUUUCGCGCGAGCGUGAACUCUGCAGUAAAAUUCUAUCAGUGCGGGGAGAUAUUGAAACCGAUGACCGUUUAAUCGGGAUCGUAGUGGUGAACAAAAACCGAAAGUGCUUUUCUCUCAUUUAUUUUUCUACCUAGGGAAAAGUAAUGAUCACUCGGUGGUAAAAAUCCGUCGGGUACUCGAUUCGUAACGCCGUUGAACUCGUCCGUCUGCGGCUGCAACCGUUUUCUCCGUGUUUCGUGUGUUUUCUCACCAGGGGCCGUGACAAACGCCAUUGCGUACUCCACCGAGCUUUUUUCCUGUCGCUUUCCCCCGCCGUCUCCCAACGCAUUUUCGUGUGCUCUUCGAGCGCGAUUAUCGAAAAGUAACGUAAUUGUCGCAACGCUCGGAGCUGGUAUUUUUAUUUCACGACCGGGCCAUAUAACUGGGUAAUGAUUUUUUUUUUCACUCAACGUUCAUCGACGUGCGGUUAACGAAGGAUAUACGAGAGUUCGUGCGUAAGUGCAGUGUGUCCGUAAAUGUGUGCGAGUGACGAGAUGCAUCAAAUUUACGAAGCACCACGGAAAUAAAUUGACCGUCGGAGCGAGGGAGGAGAGCGAGAGAGAGAGAGAGAAAGAGAAAAAAGUCUGUCUUUCGAGAGUCGACGAUAUUUUGCCACAUCUUUCAAGUGACACACAAAGAAGUUACAAGUGCUGGGGGGAAAUUAUGAUUGUGCGAAGAUACAAAGAGGCAGCUAAAUUGUGAAAUUUUAUUGUAACAACGCGAAUGAGCAUCGAAUACGUGCUCCGUCAAUUUUUUUACACCGUUUUGAAUCCUAAUUGUUGAAGCAGUUAGAGUUUCGCUGUGAACUUGAAGAAGCUGAAUGUACGCAGAGGAGAUUCGUUGAGCAGACGCCACGAAUCUCAAGAAAUUUGUCGAAUUCGUGAAAACUAGACGAACGAGAACAGUGCAAACACUCGUUUCUUUUCUUCCGUCUCUCACUUUUCUCUCUCUCUCUCUCUCCCCCCCCUCUCUCGCUCGCUCUUUCUCUGUCUUUGGUUAAUGUCGGAGGGUUUAUCUCGGCCACCUGUGGGGUAAAUCGGUCCUGGUGAAAUUCGCCCCUCGAAGGAGAGAGAGAGAGAGAGAGAGAGAGAGAGAGCGAAAAGGCACAAAGGGUGCGCUCGCGGGUUUCUCCCGAUCCCCGAGCUCUCUCCAGGAGUAUUGGCCGGGAGAGCGAGCGAGAAAAUAUCGAAGCAAUCCCAUGGGUCACGAUAGAGGGAGUCCUGAGAAAAAAAUAAGCUGGGUGGAGGCUCUGCGACGAGGAAAAGAAAGAGAAGGAAUAAGUUUUCUCUGGCGCGAGCUGUCGCGAAGAAAAUAAAAAUACGCGAGCGCGAGUCCCUUCGGAGAAUAAAAAAAGUGUUAAAACCACGGGAAACCGAAGCAGCCAAUUCUUUUGUUUAAUUUCACAAGGGAUACCAAGAACUCGAGAAUAUUCGCGGAAGACCCUCGACGGUCUCGACCAGCAGCGAGGAGGUAGCCUGAGAAAUAGCAACAUUACGAAGGAUUCGACGAAAAUUUGAAGCGCCGAAGAAUGCGAGAGCCCCCUCCCCACGACCCGUGAUCAUGAUUCUCCGUACGGAUGUGACGAGCGAUAUACGUAAGCCGAGAAAAAGCUACGGUGAGGCCGCUGCCGCUCGCCCUACGGAGAAACGAAAGCCCCUCAGCGCCGAUGCGAACCUCGACCGGUCACGAGGUCUCAAAUCUAACCUAAAAAAUAACAGAAACAAGUCGAACAAAGACGCCUUCGCGCUGUCGAAGGAUAAUACGAGAAGUGAGAAUAACAAAGUGAGAAAAGAGGAGGAGGAGGCGGAGGACGACGAGGACGACGAGGACGACGAGGACGAGGAGGAGGAGGACGAGGACGGCGAGGGGAGAGCGAUUGCAAGCAGAAAAAUAGUAGAAAAUUGGAAAAAAUCCUACAUUUUCUCGUAUUACCAUUCUUUCCUGAAAAGUCACAAAAGCGCCAAUAGCCAUCGAUCUUUCGCGACGAAAUACCGAUCUUCGGACUCCCAUUCUCGCGUAAUUAUCGAACGAGACAAGAGAGGCUCGAAGCUCCCUGAGCUCGCUCGAGGGUCACGCGCUCGCUCGAUCUUUUUUAAUCGGCAGAUCGAGGAAGCGUCCACGCUCGAAGCGGGCGGAUGACUCGCUCAGGACCAGGACGUCCCGUAGUCGUAGACGUUCCAGUAGCCUUUCCUGGGCCCGUUCUCAACGAAUACCGCCGCUCUUCUACGUCCAACCGACGCUUUUUCUCCCUCCUCUUCUCACUCUUAUUAUUAUUAUUAUUAUUAUUAUUAUUACUACUCUCAUUACUAUCGUCGUUAUCCUCCUCACAAACUUCCCUUCGAGAGGAUCCAAUAAUCCCCAGGCAAUUGCUCGUCGCUCCUUCCCGACGCUACCCCAGACCUCCUCGAUCCACAGUUUUUUAUCCCACUCGUCGCUCCUUCGAUAACUUCGGAUUUAUCGAUAGCCUCGGUAGCGUCCUCCUCGGAAUCGGCUCACCGUGAUGGCGGACCUACCCGACAUGUCGCAUCUCACUCCCGAGGAGCGACGCAUCAUCGAGGGUGUUAUGAUGCGACAAAAACAGGAGGAACAACGCGAAAAUGAGAUCAUGAGACGAAAGCAGGACGAGGUCCAAGUGCUCGAGGAAACGAUACGUGCACGCUCGGAGCAACACAAAAAGUCGGGAAUAGAGCUCGACGCCACGUGUCAGAUAUGCUCAAAGACCAAAUUUGCGGAUGGCGUCGGUCACAUCUGUAACUACUGUAACAUACGAUGCUGCGCCCGGUGCGGUGGAAAGGUUACUCUCCGAUCCAACAAGGUGAUAUGGGUGUGCAUCGUCUGUCGGAAGAAACAAGAGAUUUUUCUAAAGACCGGACAAUGGAUGAACAAAUCGGGACUCAACGCCGCGGACACUGCUAUGCUCAGAAGAAUGCAGGAGGACAUGCAAGGACCCGGUAUUCCAGGACAUCCAGAACUGACGCAGGAUAAAAGGCCAAAAUUGGAGAGAGCUCACAGUGCUGCCGAGAAAGAAAAUUUGCCACUGGUACAGAGGGGCGCUUGUACCCUGAUAAGGCAGUACUCCCAACAGGACCAGGUGUCCGGACGCCGUAUGUCGACCAGCGACAGCGGGGUGGAGAUGUCAGUGUCGCCUCACUCGAGGAGCUUGCCGACUCCACACGUCGUCGUUGGUUCUUAUCCUCAGACACCGAGACAUCCGGCUGCCUAUCCUGAAGACGAUCCGAGCCUCUAUCGGGGCGAACUCGAUAACCUCAUGCGACAACACGCUCAGACUUACCAGAGGCCCGUGUACCAAGAUUCCGAUAUACCGAUGACCUACGGUCAUGCGGGAGUGGAGAACGUUCCUCGAGCGAUGCACGGAUCGCAGCAGCAGCAGCAGCAGCACUCGAUACACGGCGGGGGACAAGUCGGACAUCCCUCGCAGAGUUUGGGUCCACCGGGCAGCGGAGGAGGGGGAGGACAGAAUGUUCUCCAUCAGCAGCGAAGUUUCAGCAGUAGCGAGGAGGAGAGAAGUACACCGGAUUGCGCGAGUGACGAGCCCGAUGAAUCCGAGAAGGGAAAGGGGUACUUCCAUCACGGCGGUGGACCUGCUUCGAUGUCCGGUGGUUCUCGUAGACACGGUUCUCACAACGGUCAUCACGUCACCGGGGCUAUGACCAUCGAGUAUAACGGUCACCAUCCACCCCGAGAACCUCGAAAAGAAGAGAGUACUCUCGUACGAAGGAGCUUCAGAAGAAGCGGCGACGAGUGGCGAGCCGACAGCCGGAGGUUCACUGAACGAAGGGGGAAAAAAACGGUCAGAUUCGACGGUGGGACGAAUGUCGGUGGUAAUGAUGGCGGUAGCCACGAGGAUUGGUCCUGGGAGGCGGAUCGCCAGGGUAGUCAAGACAGCGCGACCAAAGAUUCCGGUAUAGACACCUCAAGCACAUUCACCAGCAGCGAAGACAGCAAUCGUGGCGACCUGCCCAAGCAACCACUUUCGUGGCAAGGAAGCAGUGACGGCCAAAAAAUCAUCGGUCACAUGAUCCUCAGAAAAUCCUCUGGUUCAGGGAGCAGCAGUAGUAUUCUCGGACUGAAGGUCGUCGGUGGAAAAUUAUUGGAGAACGGCUCGAGGGGGGCGCUCAUCGAGAAAGUUAAGAAAGGCAGCACAGCGGACGUCGAGGGUCAAUUGAGACCUGGUGACGAGGUUUUACAGUGGAACGGUCGAUCUCUUCAGGGAAAGAGUUUUCAGGAGGUGAACGACAUAAUAAUGAAAUCGAGAGAAGAGCCGCAGGUCGAAUUGAUAGUGUCGAGAAAUUUGUCGGGGACAUCGACGGCAGCGAUGUUGACCGGUGUACAGACGACCGUGCCAGCCUCGGCGAUAGGUACCCCGAGGCGAAUCACAGUUCAGACUCAAUGGCGUCAGAAACACGAACCGAUGCCGAUACCUCAGCAGCCACAUCACAAAGAUUAUAUGAUUUUUCGAAUUCCAGGUCUUAAGAAAUGUAUACUGUGGGAGUUGUACGACGCCAAAAGGGACAAACCUUCCGUACUUGUGACGUCACCGGGCUCGCCGGAUCUUCACGCCCAGGGGAGAGGACGACAUCUACGAAAUCCACCGAGUAACGCGAACGUGGGUGGCACACUACAGGUGAAACUCGGUUUCGAUCCGGUGGCACUGCAGCUCAUCGUAAUACUCGUAUGCGCGGCCGCGCUCACACCCAGAAGCAACGGACAGCCCAGAAAUCCAUACGCCAAGAUAUUUCUACUGCCGGACAAGAGCGAAAAAUCGAAGAGACGGACGAAGACCUUGGCAAAUACGAACGAUCCAAAGUGGAACCAGUCCUUUAUUUACAAUAUGAGGCGUUCCGAGCUCAGGCACAGAUCUGUGGAAAUAACCGUCUGGGAUCUGGUCAAAUAUGGGGCGAAUGAUUUUCUUGGCGAAGUUAUAAUCGACCUUGCCACAUCGUCGUUAAACGAAAAACCAGAGUGGCAUUAUUUGUUGGCACACGAGGAACAGCGACAUGCUGGGUAUUAUACGGAUCCAAUCGACGAUAUAGUGAUAACACCAGUGGACUGUCAUUUGAGUCCACCUUCGACGACCUCGAGGUUGAGUGACUCGGACACGUCCGAAUGUGAUAUAACCGACUGCGACGUAUCCAGGGAACAAAGAAGAACGGCCGAUGGGGCGAGUCUGAGCAGCAGGGGUAGUUCGUCCAGGUUUCAUAAUAUGCCGUCAAAUUAUAAGCGCCACUAUUCCAGUCCGCCGCCCGAAAGAGAUUUGUGCAUGGACAACGAGCACAGAAGUCGAAGGGACAUGUCGCCGCAGGGACGAAAAAGGGCGGCGCUCAUGAUUACUCGCGAUCAGCCGGUCUCCAUUGCCGGCUAUCAAUCGUACAGGAAGGAGGACUCACCGAGAGGAAUGAUGGGUCACAGAUCGCACAGUGCAGCGCCAAUGGACUCGCCGAAUAUUCGUUACCGCGGAAGAUCGCAGAGCCCAACGGGUCAUCGUUCGCUCUCACCUCCGGAGCACAGAUCCAUCCCUUAUCCUCAUGGCUAUAUGCCACCAAGAUUCGGCUCGAGAUCGGCGACCGCGACGCCAACCGGCUCACCGAAGAAACGACAACUGCCCCAAAUACCGGCCAAUUUACACGCCGCCCUCAAAGAGCGGGUCACUCAGGAUCUCGAGGAGAGAGCGAGGUUCAUGAGGCACCGAAAUCGGCAGGUUCACACGACUUACAGGAGCACCGGGAUGGGAGGCUGGGAGAGACACUACAGCGGCCUUUCGGACUCCGAUCUCCCCUCUAUGGGCCAAGACCCUUUGUCGCUCUCGCACACCACCUACGUUCACCGGAUGCACAGAUCGAGAAGGGGUCACCUCAGUCCGGACAAGGACGUUCUCGGUGAUCUCGGUGAUUCGGACAUGGAGAGCAACGCCUCUGUGACGAGUAGCGUUUUCAGUACCCAAUCCGAAAGACCACGAGGAUCCAGAGCCUUAAUACCGACAGUUAAAAACGUAUUGAUACCCGGUGUCAUAUCCCCAAUGCCCCCACCCCCUAGGCGCAAUAGGCGCAGGCACAGAAUUAGGGUACCCUGCAGCGAAUGUCAUUGUCCAACAUCAGCAAAGAGCAACAACAACAAGAGCAGCAGCAGCAGCAUCAUUAUUAAUUCCACAAAGUCCCGAAGCAACCAAACCGUUAAGCACAAUCCUACCCAUCACCCAUUAGUACGGAGCAAGUCCGCAGUCGUACGCUCGCUGUAUAGAAAGAUGAGAACGCCGUUCACGAGGUCGCAGACCGUCGACGAGAACCUCCUGCGUUACUACAGUCCCGAAACGAGCGAGUACACCGUAUCCGAGGGUUACAUCCUCAAGCCCGAGAAACUCGUUGGGAAGACGAAAAAUCGUCGUAUACCCGAGAUCUACGUGGAGGAUUGCCUCCAGGUCAAUUUCGCUGACGGACUGUUGGACAAAUUUCGCAAUUCGAGCGCCGGCCGUUCGAAUCACGCUGCUCUUCCUGCCCCCUUCUACAACGCGUACGAGACGAUGAGAAAGAGCACCAAUAGGAGCGCCGCCCCCACGACCGCUUCCUUGUCGCGGCGUUUGCCAUCCGGAUGGAAAGAACCUUUGGAAAAUUCCAUCGUCUCGAGAUCGAAGCCGUUUGGAACGGUGAACCCCUCCUCCCUCACCACCUAUCCGGCGGAUUACGAGCUCAAAAAUCUCAUCACCCGAUCGUCCACGAUCCCGAGACGCUCGCUCCUCAGCUCGAAAGCUCGGAGCUUCGAUUACAGCGUCAUCAGCAACGACGAUCCUGCCUUCUCGAGCGGGAGUCUUCGCGGCGACGCCGCACCGGGCUCCUUUCUCUCUCGACGCGCCAAGAGCUUCGAGUACGAAACCGUUUCCAGCAACAUUUUCAGUGACGACAGUCUGCGAACCGCCAGACGUAAAUUCAAACAAAACUUGUCCAUCAGCGACUCCAAGUACGGAGACAAAAUACCUGCUCUACGGGAUCGUAGCAAAUCUUAUUACGACUCCAACGGGGACAACGAAUUGCGAAAAACUCUCGCUGCCAAUGCCCUCGUCAGGUACACCGAUUUCGAGGAUCCUCAGGCCCAAGAAAAAUUCUACAGCUCUCACCUCGACUCGCACCUCGGCCCCGCUCGGAUGGACUACUUCGAUUCCUUGGACACUCGGGUUCCUCCUCUCGCUCACGAACGUCCGAGCUCCGUUCUCGCUCGCGAGGACAUCGGCAAAAGAAAGUACGUCGAUUCGUCCUACCGCUCGCCGGACAAACGAACGAAAAGCUUGGAGAACGAAGUCUACGGAAACCGGGAGAUAAACGACCACGUUUAUUGCAGCAUCGACGAAAUCAUUCUCCCGGAAGAUCCCUGCCCGUGCAGACUCGUAUCUUCCAGCAGAUCUACCACCCUCGAUCUUCUCGAUCGAAACGAUUACGCAGCUAGACGUCACGUCAAACCUCGUAGAAGAGCCAAAAGCACCGAUUCUUAUCUCGAAGACGAAUACGAGAAUUGGGAGUUGGCUCCCGGCUACGAAUUCGAAUAUCCGCCGUUGGACGACUCGAGAAUUCCAAUUUUAGACGUCGAGGGCUACUACGAGGAGGAGAAGAGCCUUAAAAAACCGAGAAGCUCAAGGAUCCAGGGUGAAAUAUUGCGGGAUCGAAUAAUCGACGGUUACGAUUCGUACAACGAGCCUGUACAAUUUUACGCGGACGAGUCGUUGAGUUAUCGGGACGACCAGGAAGACGUGAUCGGUAGCGAGAGUUACGAGGACUCGUCGCAGGCAGCGCGCCGAAGAAGACGACGAAGGUUUCGGGAUAAUGUAAUCGUCGACGAGGCGACCGAGGCCGACAUCGAGUACGAAAAUUUUCCGAUAAAUCAUAAAAACACUCUGACGGUACCGAGCUUAUCGCAGAGCAAGAAAAUGAUGAUCGGCCGAGCCGAGUCAACGCCGAUACUCCCCCACGACGAGGAUUACGCUCUCGCCGAAGAAAGAAUGACGAGACGAAUGUCGAGAAGGAGAAGAAACAGUAGUUGCCCGGAGAGUCGUGAGCUCGUGGUCAACGGGAGCUGCAACUCCACCGAGGUUAGGGCCGAAGAAGAACCUUGCGGUUUUUUCAUCGAUUCGGACGAGGAAUUUGGCUCGAUGGAGACGGUCAUAGGGCCGAAUUACGGAGACUCGACCGCUCGCAAAGAAACUCGGAUCUCCAGCGAUUCCCGUCCCCGGUACGAGGAGGCCGUUGAGAAUGCGACACGCGAGGAGGUGCCCGUGGAAAGCUAUCGAGCCAUGAGAAGCGAGAGAUCGGAAUCAUUUUCCGGCACGACGAGGCGCUACCGGGAAGAGGAUGACGACGACGAUUUUUCCUCGGGCUAUCAGUACCGUAGACGAAAAAGUAGUUGUCCCGAGUGCCGGGAAUUGGCGAAUUUAAGCCUCGACGCUAAAUCAAGUAUUCUCUCUUCUUCGAGACGCGAUCAAGAUUACCCCGAGGAUGCUUACAAGUAUCGUAGACGAAGGAGAAGAAGAAACAGCAGUUGUCCCGAAGCUCGGGAGAUGGAACUGUACGAGGAAGAAAGAAGACCCGCCAAUAACAUAAAUCAGCAGCAGCAGCAGCAGCAGCAACCGCCGCAGCAACAACAGGGUAGUAAAAGAAACGUGGCUAUAAGCGACACCCUCGAGUAUUACGAAUACUCGAUGGAGAGCGAGAGCCAGUGUAGCGAAAACUGCGGAUUUGGCCCGUACGAUUCCCUUAGGCCCCGUAACCGAGCAGCACCCCGCCCCGGUAACGCUAAUUCAAAUAUCUUUGAUUCCCAAAAAACCGCUACCUCCGACACUGCUAAAAACCCACGGGCCACCGACGACGACCAUCAUCAUGCUCAUCAUCAUCGCGACCACCAACGAUAUCGUCACGAAAAUCAACGGGAUUAUACGAAACAACGUAACGACGCGUACGACCGAUACAACGACAACGACCGCGACCGCAACCACAACGACGAAAAUCCUUCGUCCGCUUCAACGAAAAACGUUGACGAAACGGAUAACAAACGCGACGUCGAUCAACCGCAACGCCGCUCGUCGCAACGGAAAAAAAUCAACGAUAACGAUGACCAAACUAAUAUACGGGACACUGCGAAACACAACGACCUUAACGAACGACGAUCAUCCUCGAUGCCGGAAAGCAGUGAGUACGCCAGUCAGGGAAGCUCUUAUGAGAAAAACUCGAGACACAUCCCCGCUGGAAAUGGUCACAAUGGUCACACCAAGAGGGGACAGUUUACCAGGAGUUUGAGCAACGCCGAUGUUCCGCCUGACGAAAAAGUUGAUGGGAGUCUCAGUGACACCGCCGUUGGUUUACACCCGGAGGACAACGCACGGAGGGGUCGUAAGAGUUCACCGAGCAGUAAAAGCGGAAGCGGUAGUAGUAGCGGCGGCGGAAGUGCGUCGCAAUACCAAACGGGCCUUGGGAAGAAGAGCAACAGCACGAGCCAACUAUCAGCGACAGAAUGCGGAGUGACCGGAAGCGGUGGCGUUAUGGCGGAAUCUCGCGGCCCUUCCGGUUUAUCGUCCAGAAAGCGUAACAGCACGCCGAGCAGUUUUCAACGCUCCCAGGAGGUUGUACCGACGUAUCAGCGGCUCGGUACGGGCAAACAGAACACGAGCGGUGCCUCCAUCUCCAACGACACCGCCGGAAGUCUCAACUCGAUCUCGAGUUCCGAAGCAAGCUCUUGGUCGCCAAGCCGAAGAAUGGCCGGGGAGGGCGGUCAGUUGAGCGAGUUCAUCGACGGCCUUGGACCUGGCCAAUUGGUCGGACGACAAGUUCUCGGGGCUUCGUCCCUCGGCGACGUUCAACUUGCCCUCAAACAUACCAAAGGAUACCUCGAAGUCGAGGUCGUACGGGCUCGAGAUCUUCAGGCUAAACAGGGCAGCAAAAUUUUACCAGCACCCUACGUCAAAGUAUACUUGGUCAACGGAAAAAAGUGUAUAGAAAAAGCGAAAACGACCACAGCCAGACAAACGCUCGAUCCUUUUUAUCAACAACCAUUGGAGUUCAGGCAAAACUUUCAAGGCUGCAUUCUACAGGUCACAGUCUGGGGUGACUACGGUCGCUUGGAGGGGAAAAAAGUAUUCAUGGGAGUCGCGCAGAUAAUGCUGGACGAUCUUAAUCUGAAUGAGAUGGUGUUCGGGUGGUACAAGCUCUUUGGCACGACGUCCCUGGUCAGUGGUCCUCCUUCCCUCGUCUUAUCACGACGUUCCUCAGCCGCUUCCCUAGAUUCCCUCAAACUUUAAUUCAUCUCAAAGAAAUAAUCGGAAUACAAAAGAAACGAACGUGAUCGAGAUUGAAUUUGAAAACAAUCAGCUCUUAUCGUACCAAUCGAAUAUCGGCAUUGAGCUCAAUCGUUCGAGGCUUCGAUCGUGAGCCCGUGCGCGCACUAAAAUCAUCACCAUUUUCGCACUGGCGACACACCAAGUUCGUCUAUUCAACGACAGACACUGAAAAUGAGAGAAGAACAAACAUAAAUCUACGGCUCUGAAUACGGUUUCUAGAGAGAAGAUAAUAUUUUUAUGUUCGCUGAACGCGUGUGAUAAAGAUUGUGGCUUAUUGAUCGUUCGCCAACUCUGUUGAUUCAUAUGUUCCUUUAGAGAGAUGACGAUCGAAACAGAACGAAAGAAAAAUCAACGUGAAAUAAACAAUAAUUAAUAAUGGUUAAUACGAAGCUAUGUUGUUGCCAGCAGAGCGUCUAUGGUUUUCAGCACAUUUUCAAAUACCUUAAAAACACACACAACGUUCACAACGUUUUCUAUUGAAUAAAGGUAUUCCGCGAAACCGAUGAAGAUAGUAUAUUAAUAAUGCGAAAAAACAUGUUGAAAACCGUAUUCGGUCAUUUCCACGGUGAAGGGUCUUAGGACCAUAGGAAUUUGACUAGCACAUCACAUAUCAUGUACGGAAAUGAGAUCGAGCUACUAGUCCGUUAUGUAGACUAGCUGUAGACGUAGCGGCCAUGUUUCCGGAGCGCCACAUAGCUUUAGUGAAACCAAAGGAGUUCGAGUGAACCGCAGGCCGACAUAAACUCGAACGUGGUGGUGUGUUGGGACAACGGAGUGUGAAUCGCCGCAGGAAACAAACGAGAAGAAGACGAAUGCAACGUAAAGAGACAUUACAAUGGCGUUUUUUGGUGGAUUUUGAACAGUGCGAUCGAUGAGAGCGCGAUAUCGAAGGAGAAAGAGCGAGAGAGAGAGAGAGAGAGAGAGAGUUUCGUUGACGAAACGAUGAAAUUAAUUUUCGAUAAAUCGGUCCAAGUGGGAUUUGAUGAAAAGACUUGAAUAAUAAAAAAUAAAAAUACGUGACAGACUCGACUAAAAUAUUAGGAAUGUAAUGAUAAGCGUCGGUGAAGAAAAAAAAAUCACGACACGAACUAUAAAUAUAUACAUAUAUACAUAAACAUAGAUAUAAAAAUAUGAUGAGACGUUACUAUAUUUGUAUAUAUUAUUGGACACGCCGUGCAAGGGUUUUUAAAAUCUAUAGAACUCGUUUAUUAUAACUGCUGAAAUUGUCAGAAAUAAGAUUUAAAAACGUAAAGAAAAGAAGAAAAAAACACUGAAAUAAUAGCAGGGAAAGUUCGAGACAGUUUUUUUUCUCGUGGAGCGAGAUUUUUGUCGCGUCAUCGAACAUCGUUCACCUCAUCGAUUUAAAUAACGAAAAAAGGGAAUAAGAAAAAAAAUAUUUACGUUGAUCGGUUGAUGUAUAAUCGUCGAAUGCGUGUAUACCUGCUGUAAAUAAUUGUAUAACCUAAGUCGAUUGGGUAUGCGCGCACAACGAGUUUGAAUACGUGACUGACGACGAGAAAAAGGGAGAGGAAUACCGAUCGAACGCCCUUUACGUUCCGUGUCUUAUACCACGACAUGAAAAACAAACAAAACAUUAGCUUUCUUAUUUUAUUUAUUCAUUUAUUAAUCCACUAGCUUUCAUCGCGAUCCGAGCCACGAACCGCCAAAUCUUUUUUCACUUUGUCAAAUCUCUACACAGCUAAACAUCAUUUUUUGCAAUACAGUUUAUUUUUCAUAAAAAAAAAUAAAAUUAUCUGAACACGCUUUGAUUUGUUCUAGCUUCAAACUCAUUUCUACUCAUCGAAUAAAUCUUCAAUUCGAGACACAUUAUUUUCUCGUUUGCUGCAAAAUUUCCAGGUGUCACGGAUGCUCCUCGAUCGUUUCGAUCAAUAAAAUCGUUAAGUUUUGACUUUUUUUUAAAUCCAUUUUGCGAGGUAUACUUGACAGUUACGAAGAAGCAAAAGGAGCAAUGCUUGAGCGUAAAUAUUGUUUGUGUAUAGCUGUUGGUUGUCAUCAUGUUGAAAUAUCGUUCAGGUUUUGUGUUCAGCACUUAUUGUAAGACGAAAAAAAACGUACACUAUCCUACGAGACACACUGACACGAAGUUAAAUCCACGCGUAUCCUUCCGUAUAAUUAAUAACUUGACGUUGAAUUUAUUGAAUUCAUGAAAAUCGUAGGACGACGGAUGAAACCCUGUGAAAUACAGAAAUGAGUGGAAAAAAGACUGGUCGGAAAAUGAUUUCAUAGACGGAUGGGCUCGAAUUCCUAUGUGCAUUGCACUCGAAUCAUCAUUUUAUCUCGUCACAAGCAAAAAAAAUCGUUUUAUCGUUUUUUUCCUCCUUUCUACCGAAUGAAAAAUGUAAAUUGAUCCGCUCGUGAAUUAACUUCAUUUUGACGAAUAAGAUGCAGCGGCAAAUUCAUGAGAAUAACGUCGCGGGGAGGGACGUUGUGAAAUUUAGAUUCGAGUUCGAUCGUGAUCGGGGCGAAAAUACAAAUGAACACGCUUUUACGGGGCUAAAGACAACGAGAGUUACGAAUAAAUUGGGCGAUAUUUCCACGACAGUGACCUUGAAGUACGAAGGACAAAGAAGUUUUUUUUCGGCGUGCGUGAGAGGUUAUGAACACGUGACACAUGGGCGAAUAAAUAUCUCGUGCAACUGCAUUUUAUCAGAGGAUCAAUGUUGGCGAACCGAAGGCAAACACUUUUUCGCGAUAAACAGGGAGGGGGGGGGGAGGGGCGAAGGUAAGAUCUUAUCAUAUCUUGAUAAUGGCUUAAAUUAGAAAAAUCGAACAAACCAAAAGAGCGACGAGAAAGCGACAAAAAAAAAACAAAUAAACGUUUAAAAUAUGAAAAAAAGUAAUUAAAAAAAAAAAAAAAUAAAAACACACAAAGGAGGAUUUUUUACUCGUGAAAAUAAUGAUCGUAGCGUCUUAACGAGAUAACAAAACAGAAACAUGUAAGUAUUGUGAAAAUUACUAUAAGGUGAUUUCUAAGUAAAUUUUGCAAGUGUACGGAGUUUAGUCACAGGGGGUCAAAUACGAAGAAUAAGACGAAGAUAAAAAAUAAACAUCAUACACGAAAAGAAAAACGUAACAAAAAUAAUAAACACACGAAAUACUGUAAUAGCGAACGAAAAGGGAUUAAAAGAAAAACAAAUAUAUAAAAGACUAAUAAUAUGUAACACACGUUCAGUUUGCAAUUCGCCAAUUGACGCGUCGCCUGUUCUUUGGAAAAUUUCUCCGCCUCAUGAGCGAUGGAAUAAAAAAAAUUUGAUCAAUUCUCUAUGACGAGCAUCGCCCGGUUCAGAGACGAGAGAAAAUGUUCCGGAGGAUUCGGCAUCUCGCUGUGGUAUAACGCUUAAAACCAUUAAAAAAAAAAAAAAAAAAAAAAACAAAAAAAAUUGCAUAUCCUAUUCAAACUUAGUACUUUGAUAAACACGGAAGAAUACAAAAGAAGAACGAUACGGUUGAGAAAUAAAAAGGACUGGCUCGUUGUCGUUUAUUUUUCAUUUUCUUGUUAAUCAACAUCGGCAUACCAAUUAUAUUACACCGUCAGAGUGAUAAAAGAAAAAAUGAAGGCACACCAAGAACGAAGAUAUAAAUAAUGAGAAACGUUGUUCGAAAAAAUUCAAUAACUAUAUACUGAUACCUUUUGAAAUGGAUGCGGAUGAGCAUGAUUCUCAUGAAUGAAUAAACAAAAGAAAUAUAUUUAAAAUACGUAUAUCAUACCGAGCACACAUUUAUUUCAGUAAAAAAAAAAGACAAAUAUUUAAAUUCUAAUAUUCGACAUCCGCAUUGAAAAAAAAAACGCCUCUUGUAAUGUACAUUUAAAGGGGAAAGAGACAAAGAAAAAACAUCCCACCAACGUCAUUAAUAUUAGGAUUCUACAAAAAAUUCAAGCUCAACUAUUUAUUUUGCAGUGUUUUGAACGUUUUUUCAAUUAAGUAUUUAUAAAUUGUUAAUUCUACAUCGGAUUAUUCACUGUAAAAAAUAGAUAUCUCGAAUAUUUAAUUGCGAAUAAAAAAAUAUGAAAACAAAUAUUUACCCGAAAGUUGGUCGUAAUGAAUUUUUCAAGGGAUAUAUAAUUCAAAUGCCUUUUGGAUCGUGUGUGUUGCCUAUCCCAAAUUGUGCAUGAAAUAAAUGAGAGAGGGAGGAUUAAUGCGGUGAAACUUUUAUAAAAUUUGACAGAGCCAAAAAAAAUGACGUAGUAUUUAUAUAUUGCCCACCGAGCGAACAAACAAAAGAGAAAACCCACUUAAAUGUGCAUUACGAAAAAAUCUACGAGCCUGGCGAGGGUGAGUAAAAGAUACCGAAUGAGAAAACAAAAGCGCGACGAAUAUAAACAUUAAUUUUUGCAUCGAAAGAUAAUCGUGGGAAUACGAAACAAUGCCAACAAUUUAUUAAUUAUCAAAUUAAUGAAAAAUACCUUGUAGAAGAGAUCCAAAGUAGCAUAGGCUGACCUUAUACUUGUACACUAAAGAGGAACAAACGAAAAAAAAAAACCAAAAUAGAUAAGACGUGGAGCGAAGAAAAAACAUUUGUCUCGCGUUCGAUUCGUGCACAUACGACACGACGCGCGCGUCCCCACAACACACUACACACGGUCGCGCGCGCAUACACUCAUACAGCCACACUCGAAUUCACUCGGCACACACCACAUACAAACAAAGCAAGUAAGACAUUUUACUUUUCUGACUGGAUGAAUUUGAUGCGCGAGUCAAGCUCGAUUGGUCGAUCCUGAUAACUUACUUCAUUACUACGUUAAAACAAAAAAGAAAACUUAAAAAAGUGAAAACCAAAAGAAAUUGGAAAAAAGUGAAAUAACAACUCGAGUAUCGUUAUGGAGCGAGGAGCGAGAUAUUUGCGGGCUUCGUACAUUUCUAAUUUGUCAAGUGUAUAAGAGAGAUCUAAAAUCCAGCAACUGUAUGCGAGAGAGAGAGAGAGAGAGAUGAUCGUUUCUUAAUUGUUUACCUCGUCGUGCGAGUGUGACAUUAGAGAAUAAUGGCGCGCGUGUGCGCGUAUUAAAAAGAAAAAUAUUAAAUCGAGCGAGUGCAGUUUUUAAUCUCCCGGAACAACAUUGGUGGAAAAUGAAAAAACGAUGAGCAAAACAAAGAAUUUACGAUCAAGUUACGAAUCUAAUAAGCAGUACGAUUAGACGAUGUGCCAGAGAGAAUCAGCGAGAAGCGGAGGUUACUCGAGAAUAACGGAAUCUCAAUAAACGACCAUCCUCGGUGAUAUUCCUGCCGAAAAAGACAGGUCGAUUUUAUGUUUACAAAAAAAAAAGUUAAAGAAAACCAACGGUAUAAAAAAAAAAAAACAAUAAUAGGGAACAAAAGACGCGUUUUUCCUUCUUCGAGACUGUACAUAUUGUAUGCCCGCGAUAAAAGCCCACGCGCGAAAUCGACUUAUCGUACUAUAUUAAUAGUGUAUUGAAAUAAUAGAGUUGAUAAUGAAAAUGAGAAAAUGUAACGAAAAAAAAACAAAAAUGAUGCAAAGAAAAUUAUUAAAUUCACCCUCGGCUUCCCGAUGGCUCCUCGUGGCACGAUUUAAUAUAAAGGAAGAAAAAAAACGUUAGUGACUGUAUCCAGUAUAAUAUACCACAUAAAAGAUACCCCCAAUGCCAGACAUGGCGUGUGACAAUAAAGUGAUUCCAUGAUA